rnacentral:rRNA from 1 species
AGUGAACGCUGGCGGUAGGCCUAACACAUGCAAGUCGAACGGCAGCACAGUAAGAGCUUGCUCUUACGGGUGGCGAGUGGCGGACGGGUGAGGAAUACAUCGGAAUCUACUUUUUCGUGGGGGAUAACGUAGGGAAACUUACGCUAAUACCGCAUACGACCUACGGGUGAAAGCAGGGGAUCUUCGGACCUUGCGCGAUUGAAUGAGCCGAUGUCGGAUUAGCUAGUUGGCGGGGUAAAGGCCCACCAAGGCGACGAUCCGUAGCUGGUCUGAGAGGAUGAUCAGCCACACUGGAACUGAGACACGGUCCAGACUCCUACGGGAGGCAGCAGUGGGGAAUAUUCGACAAUGGGCGCAAGCCUGAUCCAGCCAUACCGCGUGGGUGAAGAAGGCCUUCGGAUUGUAAAGCCCUUUUGUUGGGAAAGAAAAGCAGCAUAUUAAUACCCCGCUGUUCUGACGGUACCCAAAGAAUAAGCACCGGCUAACUUCGUG